UACGUAGGGGGCAAGCGUUGUCCGGAUUUAUUGGGCGUAAAGAGCUCGUAGGUGGUUCGGUAAGUCGGAUGUGAAAUCUCCAGGCUCAACCUGGAGGGGUCAUUCGAUACUGCCGUGACUAGAGGUCGGUAGGGGAGUGUGGAAUUCCUGGUGGAGCGGUGAAAUGCGCAGAUAUCAGGAGGAACACCGGUGGCGAAGGCGCCACUCUGGGCCGAAACUGACGCUGAGGAGCGAAAGCGUGGGUAGCAAACAGG
rnacentral:rRNA from 1 species